rnacentral:rRNA from 1 species
AUUGAACGCUGGCGGCAGGCCUAACACAUGCAAGUCGAGCGGAGCGGCGGACGGGGGAGUAAUGCUUAGGAAUCGGACUGGUAGUGGGGGAUAACGUCCGGAAACGGGCGCUAAUACUGCAUACUAUCAGAUGAGCCUAGGUCGGAUUAGCUAGUUGGUGGGGUAAAGGCCUACCAAGGCGACGAUCCGUAACUGGUCUGAGAGGAUGAUCAGUAACACUGGAACGGAGACACGGUCCAGACUCCUACGGGAGUCAGCAGUGGGGAAUAUUGGACAAUGGGCGAAAGCCUGAUGCAGCCAUGCCGCGUGUGGGAAGAAGGUCUUCGGAUUGUAAAGUACUUUAAGUUGGGAGGCGUUACCAGCAGAAUAAGCACCGGCUAACUUCGUGCCAGCAGCCGCGGUAAUAC